rnacentral:rRNA from 1 species
CGCGCAGGCGGUUUUGUAAGUCAGAUGUGAAAGCCCUGGGCUCAACCCGGGAAGUGCACCUGAUACUGCAAGACUUGAGUAUGGGAGAGGGAAGUGGAAUUCCUGGUGUAGAGGUGAAAUUCGUAGAUAUCAGGAGGAACAUCGGUGGCGAAGGCGACUUCCUGGACCAAUACUGACGCUGAGGCGCGAAGGCGUGGGGAGCAAACA